CCUGUGCGUCCAGAGCCUAUGCUCCGCGGCGGGAGAGGCCACAGCAGUGAGAGGCCCACGUACCGCAAAAAAAAAAAAAAAAUAAUAACUUGGCUAUAAAACACUCAUAUUUUUUAUUCCGCAUUCUCCUAAGGAGCAUGAGCUCCGAAAUGAGAAGAGUGAUUUUUAAAAAUCUUUGUAUCCCCAGUUUUUAUCACAAGGUAGGAGCAACCACUAGAUCUUUGGCCUCAGCACCACUGAUGCCUGGCCAGAUGCAUGCUCCAUGGUGAAGGACACUGGCUUCUCCUGCAGGACACUCCAUAAUCCAACUUGGAGGCUUGCAGGUGAUGAGAGAGCAUUCUCCAUUGGACUCUAUUCUAUCUUCACUAGUUCCAAUUCAUCCUUGCUUCCCUCAUUUCAUGUCCACUGGCCCUCCAUGACUGCCCGCCCAGUGAGAUUCUGAGUGCAGCUCCAGGCACAGAAACAAAAGGCUCACAAAACUGUGUAAUCAGCUCUCAUUCCUGCAUCAAGUGAUACCCCUAUAAUAAAUCCUUUGUUCU